GGAAACGACUGCUAAUACCCAAUAUGCAGGAAUGUGAAAUAAAUUUUGCCUGAAGAGGAGCUCGCGUCCGAUUAGUUAGUUGGUGAGGUAAGAGCUUACCAAGGCGGCGAUCGGUAGCUGGUCUGAGAGGACGAGCAGCCACACUGGGACUGAGACACGGCCCAGACUCCUACGGGAGGCAGCAGUGGGGAAUUUUCCGCAAUGGGCGCAAGCCUGACGGAGCAAUACCGCGUGAGGGAGGAAGGCUUUUGGGUUGUAAACCUCUUUUCUCAAGGAAGAACACAAUGACGGUACUUGAGGAAUCAGCAUCGGCUAACUCCGUGCCAGCAGCCGCGGUAAUACGGAGGAUGCAAGCGUUAUUCGGAAUUAUUGGGCGUAAAGCGUCCGCAGGUGGUGUUUCAAGUCUGCUGUCAAAGACCGAAGCUUAACUUCGGGUAGGCGGGGGAAACUGAAACACUAGAGUACGGUAGGGGUAGAGGGAAUUUCCAGUGUAGCGGUGAAAUGCGUAGAGAUUGGAAAGAACACCAGUGGCGAAGGCGCUCUACUGGACCGUAACUGACACUCAGGGACGAAAGCU
rnacentral:rRNA from 1 species